CCCUUAGAUGUUCUGGGCAGCACGCGCGCUACAAUGGUCUUCGCAAACGGAUGCAUUCUCGAAGGAGAAUGCCAAUCUUGGAAUCUAUGCCUUGGUCGGGACAGUUGCUUGCAAUUUUUCGACUCGAACCAGGAAUUCCUUGUAAUCGUGAUUCAUCACAUCACGAUGAAUACGUCCCUGCCCUUUGUACACACCGCCCGUCGCUCCUACCGAUUGAGAGAUUCAGUAAACCUUCUGGAGUGGGUAGGAUCUUCAAGGUUCAAUCUGCGAAGUUAAGUAAACUAUUAUCUCUUAGAGGAAGGAGAAGUCGUAACA
rnacentral:rRNA from 1 species